GAUGAACGCUGGCGGCGUGCCUAAUACAUGCAAGUCGAACGAGUUCUCGUUGAUGAUCGGUGCUUGCACCGAGAUUCAACAUGGAACGAGUGGCGGACGGGUGAGUAACACGUGGGUAACCUGCCCUUAAGUGGGGGAUAACAUUUGGAAACAGAUGCUAAUACCGCAUAGAUCCAAGAACCGCAUGGUUCUUGGCUGAAAGAUGGCGUAAGCUAUCGCUUUUGGAUGGACCCGCGGCGUAUUAGCUAGUUGGUGAGGUAAUGGCUCACCAAGGCGAUGAUACGUAGCCGAACUGAGAGGUUGAUCGGCCACAUUGGGACUGAGACACGGCCCAAACUCCUACGGGAGGCAGCAGUAGGGAAUCUUCCACAAUGGACGCAAGUCUGAUGGAGCAACGCCGCGUGAGUGAAGAAGGCUUUCGGGUCGUAAAACUCUGUUGUUGGAGAAGAAUGGUCGGCAGAGUAACUGUUGUCGGCGUGACGGUAUCCAACCAAAAAGCCACGGCUAACUACGUGCCAGCAGCCGCGGUAAUACGUAGGUGGCAAGCGUUAUCCGGAUUUAUUGGGCGUAAAGCGAGCGCAGGCGGUUUUUUAAGUCUGAUGUGAAAGCCCUCGGCUUAACCGAGGAAGCGCAUCGGAAACUGGGAAACUUGAGUGCAGAAGAGGACAGUGGAACUCCAUGUGUAGCGGUGAAAUGCGUAGAUAUAUGGAAGAACACCAGUGGCGAAGGCGGCUGUCUGGUCUGUAACUGACGCUGAGGCUCGAAAGCAUGGGUAGCGAACAGG
rnacentral:rRNA from 2 species